ACAGAGUGUUGAGCAGAGUUCCCUGUGCUAUACAGUCGGUCCUUGUUGGUUAUCACAUGGAUUCUUGAUCUGUGCUGUCUGUCAUACCCCUCUGCUGUCCCCGCACCCCAAGGACAGGCUGUGGGUGGGGGAUGCUGUGUCCCCACUCGGGCAGCAGGCUGGGUGAGGACAAUGAAAGCCCGAGGUAAGGAGGGAAGGUGAGGAGCGAGGGCGCCAGCUGAGGGGCCAGGCAAGUGCCAGGACGAUGUGACAGGCACCCAGAAAUCCUUGGAAUGAUCCCCAGGAGCAGGGGUCCCCAACCUCUGGGCUGUGGACUGGUACCUCCUGUCGGAUCAGUGGCUGCAUUAGAUUAUUUAUUAGAAAUAAACUGCACUAGAAAUAUAAUACACUUGAAUCAUCCCCAAACCACCCCCUCCCCGGUCCAUGGAAAAAUUGUCUUCCUUGACAGUUGAGGAAGGGUUGGGGGCCACCGCCUAGGAGCACUGGACUGCUGGCAGGGAGGUUCACAGCUGAGGAUUCUCAUUUGGUUUUGAAGGGAAGGACCACCCCAGCCGAUUGGCCAACCUCACUAGCUCGCCACGUGACAUGGGGUAUUUGUAAUACCCUGCAGGGUGCUGGGCAGCUGGCAGCGGAAAAGUUUGUUAGCAGCACUGACUGGGAAGCUCUCCAGCUUGACUUUGCCACUUGCUUCCUAUGGAGCCCCUGACCGACACCAGAAAGUACCGUACAUUCACUUCAGUACGCUUAAGUGGAAAUACGCGUUUGGAUUUACAGACAGGAGUCCUGGAAAGUUUUCCCAGAGCCCAGAGCACCUCAUUCCUGAUCUCCACCCUCCACUCCUCUCAGGCUGUGCUGAAGGGCUCUGGCUUCAGCCACCAGCGUCCCUCCCGGGAGAGAUCACAGAACCGAAGCAUACAAGUGAAAGAUGGCGGGGACCAGCCCCCCAAGCCAGCACCGUGGAGAGACGGCUUCCACCCUGCUUGCUCCAGCUUUAACAGAGUCUAGAAUGCUUACAGGGCUCCCUGGAGGACUGGUCAGGCCUUGGCAGGACCUCACUGCCACCUCGUUGUCCCAGAUGGAGACCUGGAAGAGCCAGCCUGAGAGCGAGAGUACAUCAUGAGAAACGCUGGGCUAGAUGAAGCACAAGCUGGAA